CUGGUUGAUCCUGCCAGAGGUCACUGCUAUCGGGGUUCGAUUAAGCCAUGCGAGUCGAGAGGGUUCAGACCCUCGGCGGACUGCUCAGUAACACGUGGAUAACCUGCCCUAAGGUGGAGCAUAACCCCGGGAAACUGGGGAUAAUACUCCAUAGGUUAGAGAUACUGGAAUGUUCUUUAAUCGAAAGUUCCGGCGCCUUAGGAUGGAUCUGCGGCCGAUUAGGUAGUUGUUGGGGUAACGGCCCAACAAGCCUGUAAUCGGUACGGGUUGUGGGAGCAAGAGCCCGGAGAUGGAAUCUGAGACACGAUUCCAGGCCCUACGGGGCGCAGCAGGCGCGAAAACUUUACAAUGCAGGAAACUGUGAUAAGGGAACCCCGAGUGCCCGUAUACGCGGGCUGUCCGGGUGUAUAAAAAGCAUCUGAAGAAAGGGCCGGGCAAGACCGGUGCCAGCCGCCGCGGUAAUACCGGCGGCUCGAGUGGUGACCACUUUUAUUGGGCUUAAAGCGUUCGUAGCUGGACUCUUAAGUCUCUUGGGAAAUCCCGCGGCUCAACCGUGGGGCGUUUAAGAGAUACUGGGAGUCUAGGAACCGGGAGAGGUAAGAGGUACUUCGGGGGUAGAAGUGAAAUUCUGUAAUCCUCGAGGGACCACCGAUGGCGAAGGCAUCUUACCAGAACGGCUUCGACAGUGAGGAACGAAAGCUGGGGGAGCGAACGGGAUUAGAUACCCCGGUAGUCCCAGCCGUAAACGAUGCGCGUUAGGUGUACUGGUGACCACGAGUCACUGGGGUGCCGAAGGGAAACCGUGAAACGUGCCGCCUGGGAAGUACGGUCGCAAGGCUGAAACUUAAAGGAAUUGGCGGGGGAGCACCAC
rnacentral:rRNA from 1 species